CUCAUUACAUUUACCAGUAAUCUUUUUUUUUUUUUUACCUUUACCAGUAGUCUUAUGGAUUUAAAUUACCAGCUGGGGUCACUUGCUUUCAGCUUGAAGAACUUUCUUUAGUAUUUCUUUUAAGUGACAUCAGUGAAUGGGCUGGUCUGGAUGGCUUCACUCAUAUUUCUGGUGCUUUGACAAGGAUGAUUAGAAGACUGGACUUAGUUGGGGCUGAAUCCUUCUUCUUCAACUUGGUGGACUGAUGGCCCCUCUUUCAUAGGACUGCUGUUGUUUGUUGGAAGUCCACUCCAGACCUUAUUCACCUGGGUCCCUCCUGCACCUAGAGUUAUUACAAGUAGAGGUAGCAAAAUGACAAAGAUGGC
rnacentral:lncRNA from 1 species